CUCUAGCCCUCCCUGUCCCUGACGUCUGCAAAGCUCACAGAAACAGAAAAACCUAUAAUGGAAAAAUGCAACAGUUGUUGAAGAAUGGAGAUAACAGAAGUGGCUGAGGUUCAACUAUGCUACCUGGAAGCACAAAGAGAUGCUGUUGAGCAGAUGUCCCUCAAGCUGUACAGCGAGCAGUAUACCAGCAGCAGCAAGCGAAAGGAAGAGUUUGCUGAUAUGUCAAAAGUUCAUUCAGUGGGAAGCAAUGGGCUUCUGGACUUUGAUUCAGAAUAUCAGGAGCUCUGGGAUUGGCUGAUUGACAUGGAGUCCCUUGUGAUGGACAGCCACGACCUGAUGAUGUCAGAGGAGCAGCAGCAGCAUCUUUACAAGCGAUACAGUGUGGAAAUGUCCAUCAGACACCUGAAAAAGACGGAGCUGCUUAGUAAGGUUGAAGCUUUGAAGAAAGGUGGCGUUUUACUACCAAAUGAUCUCCUUGAAAAAGUGGAUUCAAUUAAUGAAAAAUGGGAACUGCUUGGGAAAACCCUAGGAGAGAAGAUCCAGGACACAAUGGCAGGGCACAGUGGGUCGAGUCCACGUGACCUGCUCUCUCCUGAAAGCGGAAGCCUGGUAAGGCAGCUGGAGGUCAGGAUCAAAGAACUGAAAGGGUGGCUAAGAGAUACAGAGCUUUUCAUCUUCAAUUCCUGUCUGAGACAAGAAAAGGAAGGAACAAUGAAUACUGAGAAACAACUGCAAUACUUUAAGUCCCUCUGUCGUGAAAUCAAGCAACGACGUCGAGGAGUUGCCUCCAUUCUGCGACUAUGCCAGCAUCUUUUGGAUGACCGGGAGACUUGCAAUCUGAAUGCAGACCACCAGCCC
rnacentral:sRNA from 1 species